GGAGAGCCAAACCUUCCCUAGGACUUUGUACUGUAGCUGCUAUGCUUUGCUGAGCUUUCCCAUGGAGUGGAGUUACUAGCGGUACAGCCACCAAACGAUACCUCACAAAUGCAUAUAUGAGUAUGUUUUGGUGCCUGUUCUGUAAAGACUGGCCUUAGCAACUUUCUUUACUAACACUUUCCUUCCUUUCCAGAUAAACCUCUUCCUGACUUUCCCUUCAGCAAGUACUAAACAUAGCACAAAGUUGCUACCUAGUGGACAGCGUGAGUACAGGACCACUGAUGYUGAGCAGCCUGUUGAGUGGAAAGCAGAGCAGCUCUCUUCUUGACAGUGACAGAAACCACCGUGAAAUGUCUGGACAACUGCUGCCAGAGGACAGCUGCCAGGGAUUGUAUGCUUCCCACUGUUAAUUGAGAGGAGUCUCCCCACUGGACACAUUGCUGUGUGCUUCUCAUUUGUGUUUCAACCAUCGCUCCAGUCUGAGUUUCUCCUGCCUGCCUUUGAUUGAAGGCUGGAUCAUCUGCAGCUGUAUGAUGACAGGCAGGAAGACAGGUGAGACUUUACUGGACUGUAAUUUACUAUGACAGAUUGAAAACCACUGGGGUAUAAAGAAUAGCAGAGGCCUGUUCUGAAUCCACUACUGUCACUAAUAUAGAAACCUUAAUAACUCAUUGAUAAAUCUUCAGAGUAGAAAUACACAAAACAUCCCUAUGUACAAUAACAUUCUUGUUUACAUCAACUGGGUUAGAAAUUUGAUGCAAGGAUUGCCACUAGUUGUUAUUCUUUUAGCUACAUGAUGGGACUUGUGUGGGAAGAGCAGGAUCACUUGAUUGAUCAUUUGUAUUGGCAGCUGUUAGCUCCACUGUUGCAUCUGAGCAGUUGACAUGACAUAGAGGAGGUGCUAGGUGUGCGAUUGUGUUUCACAUCCAACCUCUAUCUCCAGAUGAUUGAAUUCUCCUUCCAUGCAUGGGCAAUUCCAGUCUUUAGUC
rnacentral:lncRNA from 1 species